rnacentral:rRNA from 1 species
GUGCCAGCAGCCGCGGUAAUACGUAGGGUGCAAGCGUUAAUCGGAAUUACUGGGCGUAAAGCGUGCGCAGGCGGUUAUGUAAGACAGAUGUGAAAUCCCCGGGCUCAACCUGGGAACUGCAUUUGUGACUGCAUAGCUGGAGUACGGCAGAGGGGGAUGGAAUUCCGCGUGUAGCAGUGAAAUGCGUAGAUAUGCGGAGGAACACCGAUGGCGAAGGCAAUCCCCUGGGCCUGUACUGACGCUCAUGCACGAAAGCGUGGGGAGCAAACAGGAUUAGAUACCCUGGUAGUCC